GUAGGUGGCAAGCGUUGUCCGGAAUUAUUGGGCGUAAAGCGCGCGCAGGCGGUUCUUUAAGUCUGAUGUGAAAGCCCACGGCUCAACCGUGGAGGGUCAUUGGAAACUGGAGAACUUGAGUACAGAAGAGGAAAGCGGAAUUCCACGUGUAGCGGUGAAAUGCGUAGAGAUGUGGAGGAACACCAGUGGCGAAGGCGGCUUUCUGGUCUGUAACUGACGCUGAGGCGCGAAAGCGUGGGGGGAGCAAACAGGAUUAGAUACCCUGGUAGUCCACGCCGUAAACGAUGAGUGCAAGUGUUAGGGGGUUUCCGCCCCUUAGUGCUGCAGCUAACGCAUUAAGCACUCCCGCCUGGGAGUACGGCCGCAAGGCUG
rnacentral:rRNA from 1 species